AAUAAAUAAGUUUUCAAAUAAAUUGCUUUUUGUUUUUAGGAAAAUCUGGAUCUCCGUGUUAUAUAAAAAAAUCAAAACUUUUCACACUAUCACUUUGAAGCUUCGGUGUUAAGGGUUCUAUUUAAAUGCAGACUGUCAGGGCUUUGUUCAGAGAGAAAUCUUUAUAAAGAAAAACAGUUACUAUAAAAUGAUUAAAAGACCAGCAGUCUUUGUUCUAUCGUAGAUAAUCUAAUGACUUCAUCUAGUCGCACGUGAAUGUACAUAGAUUCCUGCGAAUAGCUGUUAUCCACUACAAGAGUUUCACUUGACUUUUCACCCUCUUAACCUGAGCUGAACAUUUAACAGGCAAUGUCAACCGAGAUUGUGACAGAUAAGAAAAGAGAAACAGCAAAAUCAAUUGGUGUCCUAAUCGCAGCAUCAGCUAAGGAGCAGAAAUUUAAAGGAAAUCAGUAUAUCAAGACAGGUAGAUUGAGCUUGAGUGACCUAGGCUUACACAACAUUCGUGAACGCAAGGUAAAUUAUUAUCUGAG
rnacentral:sRNA from 1 species